CGGGGUGCAGCAGGCGCGAAAACUUUACAAUGCUGGCAACAGCGAUAAGGGGACCUUGAGUGCCAGGAUACAAUCCUGGCUGUCGUGAUGCCUAAAAAGCAUUAUAUAGCAAGGGCCGGGCAAGACCGGUGCCAGCCGCCGCGGUAACACCGGCGGCUCGAGUGGUAACCGCUAUUAUUGGGUCUAAAGGGUCUGUAGCCGGCUUGGUUAGUCUCUUGGGAAAUCCGGCAGCUUAACUGUCGGGCUUUCAGGAGAUACUGCCAGGCUCGAGACCGGGAGAGGUGAGAGGUACUUCAUGGGUAGGGGUGAAAUCUUGUAAUCCUUGAAGGACCACCAGUGGCGAAGGCGUCUCACCAGAACGGAUCUGACGGCAAGGGACGAAAGCUAGGGGCACGAACCGGAUUAGAUACCCGGGUAGUCCUAGCCGUAAACGAUACUCGCUAGGUGUCGGCCACGGUGCGACCGUGGUCGGUGCCGUAGGGAAGCCGUGAAGCGAGCCACCUGGGACGUACGGCCGCAAGGCUGAAACUUAAAGGAAUGGCG
rnacentral:rRNA from 1 species